GUCUCCGAUUUGUACAUUAAUUAGGAUUUUACUCUCAAUUAGGUAAAUAUUCAUUUAAUUUGAUUAUCUCAUAUAGAUAUAUAAUAUAUUAUUUAUUUUGUCUUAAAUUUAUACAUCUAUACUAAUAUUAGACAGCUGAAGAGUUUUGUUUUUUGUUUGGACGCGCUAAUCUCAGGAACUACUGGUCCGAUUUGAAAAAUUCUUUCAGCUAUAGAUUAUAUAUCAUCGCGUUACGACUAAUAGGAGAAGAGCACCAACGAAAAAUGUAUCGAAAACGGGGUUUUUUCCUUUUGAGAGCUUCCACUGCGUGCGCUGCGUAAACAGU
rnacentral:misc_RNA from 1 species